AAUUCCAGCUCCUCGAGUGGUUAGGGCGUUUAUUGGGCCUAAAGCAUCCGUAGCGGCUCUGUAGGUCCUCUGUAAAAUCCAACGGCUCAACCGUUGAUCAGCGGAGGAUACCGCAAAGCUAGGAGGCGGGAGAGGCGGACGGUACUCCGUGGGUAGGGGUAAAAUCCUUUGAUCCACGGAAGACCACCAGUGGCGAAGGCGGUCCGCUAGAACGCGCUCGACGGUGAGGGAUGAAAGCUGGGGGAGCGAACCGGAUUAGAUACCCGGGUAGUCCCAGCCGUAAACUAUGCGAGCUAGGUGACGGAGUGGCCACGAGCCAUUCCGGUGCCGCAGGGAAGCCGUUAAGCUCGCCGCCUGGGGAGUACGGUCGCAAGACUGAAACUUAAAGGAAUAGGCGGGGGAGCACCACAAGGGGUGAAGCCUGCGGUUCAAUUGGAGUCAACGCCGGGAAUCUUACCAGGAGAGACAGCAGGGUGAAGGUCAGGCUGAAGACUUUACCUGACAAGCUGAGAGGAGGUGCAUGGCCGUCGCCAGCUCGUGCCGUGAGGCGUCCUGUUAAGUCAGGCAACGAUCGAGACCCCUACUAUUAAUUGCUAACAUUGACCGCAAGGUUGGUGAGGCUAGUUAGUAGGACUGCCGCCGCUAAGGCGGAGGAAGGAGGGGGCAACGGCAGGUCAGUAUGCCCCGAAACUCUUGGGCCACACGCGGGCUGCAAUGGUAGGUACAAUGGGAUCCAAACCCGAAAGGAUGAGGUAAUCCUGAAAGCCUACCCCAGUUGUGAUUGAGGGCUGUAACUCGCCCUCAUGAAUCUGGAAUCCCUAGUAAUCGCGUGUCAACACCGCGCGGUGAAUACGUCCCUGCUCCUUGCACACACCGCCCGUCGCUUCACCCGAGUUGGGUGUGGGCGAGGUGACGCCUAGUUGACGUCAUCGAACCCGUGCUCAGCAAGGGGGGAGAAGUCGUAACAAGGUAACC
rnacentral:rRNA from 1 species